UAAUUCAUGUUCACGAUUCAUAUUCAACAAUGGGAAAACCCAUUUUCGGGGUGUUUCGUUAUUUCAUUGUUCAAAUACGUGAAAUGAAAUUGAGAGCACGGACUCGUCACCUUAUGCUAUUCUCAACUUUGAAAAUGAAAGUUGAACAAGGAUGUAUAUCAUUGUCCAAAUAGGCGAACGCACGGAACCGUCACCUUAUACCAUUCUCAACUUGGAAAAUGAAAAUUGAAACAAGGAAGUUGGGAGACAGGGGGGAAAGUGUCAAAAUAAAAGUUGCGUACGUCGUUAUGUCUGUCCGGUGCCAGACCGACGGGGAUGCCGAUGGACGCCUAAUCACGCCAGCACGCCGGCGAAAGAAGUUGUUCCAGCAGUAGCCUACCCGAGAAGCUCAGCAGUGCCAUUCAUAGAAUCGCUCAUCUAGCAAUACCAAGAAAGGCUUACUACUCUUCUCACCCUGACCAUGGACUAUUUUAACCCUUGAGGCAGACGUCUCUGCUGCAUCAAAACCAG